ACAGUCUCUCCUUCGCCAGCUCCCACACCGCUGCCCUCCACUUCGUCCCCGCCAUCGCCGCCCGACCGCCUGCUGCUGCUGCAGCUGCCGCCUUCCGCCCCGCUGCCGUCGCCCAGGCUCGCCCCCUCCUCCUCGUCCUCGGUGCUGUCGCUCAGGGACGCGCCGUCCUGCAUCAACUCCUUCCCCUCCAGCGCGUCCAGCUCCAGAUCCACAGUCGCCGGCCCUCGCCCAUUGAAAUGCCUCAAGGGCCACACCGAGGUCUCGGGGCGGCCGCGGCUACUGCCAUUGUUGCCGAGACCCCCGCCGCCGCCGCCUCGGAAGGCCAGAGUCCGACGGUUCCUUUCCGCUAGCAGGGGGCCCCCCGCGCCACCGCCAAGCGAGGUGGGGCCGCCCGCGUCUUGGGGGAGCAGCAACUCCUUGGCUUCCUCGGCGGCGCCGGCGGCCGGCCCGGCGGAGGCCUCCAGGUCUUGGGGCUCCAGGCCCUCCAAUUCCACUUCCUCGUCGGCCCCCCGCCCAUUAGGCGGCUGAAGCGCGGGCGGCGCUGGCGGCGGGGGCUGUCUCGGCUGGGGCUGCGGAGGCCAAGCUGAGGCCUCCCCGCCAGCGUUAUUGUUCGUGGAGCCGCCGCCGCUAGCGGUGACCAACCCGCCUCCUCGGAACGCCAGCGUCCUGCGGUUCAUUUCACUGAACGACAUGGCGCGCGCCGCCGCCGCCGCCGCCCGGUGCCCCGGCUCGCGCACGGCCUCGGGCCGCGUCCCGCGCGCUCCCCGCGGCUCCCCCUCUGUCUCGCCCCCGCCCCCGGCGUUCCGGUCUCGCGGGGCUCGGCCUCGCCCUCUCGCCCGGCAGCCCGGCUCGCGCUCGCUCCCGGGUCUGCUGCACGCGUCCGCUGCCGCUGCCGCUGCCGGGCCGACGCCUCCGACCGCUCUCUCGUCCUCCACCCCCGCCCCGCCGCGCUCCGGGCAGCGUCCCGCGCGGAGAAGGGGGCGGGCGGCGGAGAGGUGAGGAGCGAGCCUGCAGCGAGCGAGGCCUUCGAAGUUGAGCAGCGGAGUGCGGGGAGACCCUCCGCUGCCCCCUCUUUAAAGCCGCGCGCGCACACACCGAUCCUCCACACAGAUAUCCUUCCUCCGCGCGCCGAGGAGUCCCGACGCCGCCGCCGGCUUCGCAGGCGCUGAGGGUGAGAGGCACGCUAAACUGCUCGGCUCCGCCACAUAACGAAGCGACAAUAAAGCCGGCGGAGCGUUUCCGUCCGACCAGGCCCUGGCGGAGGUCGAAUGGCAAAUGAACAACGGACCGUGCGCCCACAAUGCACCGGGACUGGACCAGGCGGUGCCUUUCACGCGAAGAGGUUACGACCACGGACACAACCUCCUUUGAUGCAUUGUGCGAGGCAGCACCUCGGGCCCCGGACAGUAGUCAUUUCACAGAAAAUGCACCGCCCCGAGUGUCUUAUUGCUGUGAUGAAAUGGAAAUUUAAAUAAAAGGUCGAACACGUGCGUUCACUGGGAAGUAUUGACAUGGGUGUUACAUCACCAGCAGCCAAUCAGAUAACUCCAGUCGUGUUUAUACUUCUACAACCACCUUAUUACAUGUAAUUUUAAUGUAAAGAAUGACAGUACUACCCUGCCACAAAAGGAUUUUGGCUUUGAGUUAUUUUUCCGGUAAUAAACAUAUUGUCACCUGGCCACCAGUGACCAAGAGCUUGAAAUUCUGAUAUAGUUCUUCAGGUGGGUACAGUUGUAGGGUGUUUUUGUUUGUUUGUUUGUUUGUUUUGUCCUGCUUUGUUUUAGUUGCUGGGAAGCUUAAGACAGUGGAGUCUGAUCUUGACCUAAUUCGUACCCUUAAGAAAUAAGAGAACUCUGCCAAGUGAGGCUGUAUAAUAUGUGCCACAUAUGGAAGAAUGCCAUAAUAAUACUUGUGCUCUGUUUUUAAUGCGUGUUUUUUUUUCAUUCUAGGCAUUUUGAAAAUAAAUACAUUUAUUAUAUGUUAAUCACCACAGCCUCCACCCCCAUAAAAAGAGGGAAGAGUUACUGAAGUUAAUUACUUAUCUAGGAUCAAGGUGAUGGGAAAUGAAAAUGGACUUAAAAAUUUUUAUUUUGCUGGGCACGGUGGCUCACGCCUGUAAUCCCAGCACUUUGGGGGCCGAGACGGGCGGAUCAUGAGGUCUGGAGUUCAAGACCAGCCUGACCAACAUGGUGAAACCCCGUCUCUACUAAAAAUUCAAAAAAUUAGCCAGGUGUGGUGGCGCUCGCCUAUAAUCCCAGCUACUCAGGAGGCUGAGGUAGAAGAAUCACUUGAACCAGAGAGGCGGAGGUUGCAGUGAGCUGAGAUCAUGCCAUUGCACUCCAGCCUGGGCGACAGAGCGAGAUUCCAUCUGAAAAAAAAAAAAAUUUUAUUUCAGCUCUAAAGCUUGUUUUCAUUCAAAAACUGUUAAAUUCAAAUAUUUGCUACUUCUUAUCUCGUAUCCUACUACAUAGUAGGCACUAUAUAAAUUUAUGUAUUAUUUUUGCUAAUAGUGCCAGAAUCAACCAAAAACGUUUAAAUCCAUAAUUGUGUCAGACCUGCCUUUUUCUCAGACAUAUAUCUUACCUUAUGUUUUAUAAAAUCCUCAUUGUCUUCUAUCUGAAGUUAUGUUUAAACAUGGACUAAUUAGGAAUGAAUGACACUAGAGUCAAGUGGUACAAAUAAAUGACUUAAAUUCUAGGACCACUGAACUAACAGUAUCAGGGUGAUGUGUGUGUGUUUG
rnacentral:lncRNA from 10 species